rnacentral:rRNA from 1 species
AGUUUGAUCCUGGCUCAGGACGAACGCUGGCGGCGUGCCUAAUACAUGCAAGUCGAACGAACUCUGGUAUUGAUUGGUGCUUGCAUCAUGAUUUACAUUUGAGUGAGUGGCGAACUGGUGAGUAACACGUGGGAAACCUGCCCAGAAGCGGGGGAUAACACCUGGAAACAGAUGCUAAUACCGCAUAACAACUUGGACCGCAUGGUCCGAGCUUGAAAGAUGGCUUCGGCUAUCACUUUUGGAUGGUCCCGCGGCGUAUUAGCUAGAUGGUGGGGUAACGGCUCACCAUGGCAAUGAUACGUAGCCGACCUGAGAGGGUAAUCGGCCACAUUGGGACUGAGACACGGCCCAAACUCCUACGGGAGGCAGCAGUAGGGAAUCUUCCACAAUGGACGAAAGUCUGAUGGAGCAACGCCGCGUGAGUGAAGAAGGGUUUCGGCUCGUAAAACUCUGUUGUUAAAGAAGAACAUAUCUGAGAGUAACUGUUCAGGUAUUGACGGUAUUUAACCAGAAAGCCACGGCUAACUACGUGCCAGCAGCCGCGGUAAUACGUAGGUGGCAAGCGUUGUCCGGAUUUAUUGGGCGUAAAGCGAGCGCAGGCGGUUUUUUAAGUCUGAUGUGAAAGCCUUCGG